CGCCACUUGCUGGAUGCCGGACACUGGUCAUGCGGCCUCGCCCCCUGCUUUAUUAUCGUCUCUCUCUCUCUCUCCUCUUUGUUUGUCUGUAGGUGUGUCUCCCUCUCCCUCUCUUUGUGUGGCUACAGCUGCGCGACCGGCAGACCGAGUCGAGCCGCAGGUCACCGAGGAGAAGGAAAAGACGAUGCACUUGAGAUAUGUUGUCCCUGUCGCCGUGGAGCCUACGUCCUCAGGCUCCGAACAAAGGCCCCGCGCUUACCAGGUUACGUUAACGAGAAUACAAAUGAAGAAAAUUCUGCUACUCCUACGACGGGAGAGACGAGACUUGGGUCUAUUGUUUUCGGUAACUAUAUGUGGAAAUGAUCUAUUUAUUUUCGUAUUCCUGUUUCUAGUUUUUUUUUUUUCUAUUGACGUUUCUCUCGCUCUUCUUUCAGUUGAUGCAACCGGGAUAUAGGAAGCGAGAGGAAACACUAUUUCACACUUGUAGAAUGGAGAGUUAUUGGGAAAAAAAAAACGAAAUCAUUGUCUAUUAUCACUUCAGAACAUCAUUUCGUUUAGGCAGAAUCACUACAAAAGCGUUUAUUGCCAUUCGAAAAAUAAAAACUCAGGGAAUUCUAAAUUAAUAUUUCUUUUUUUUUUAUUUCAUUGUAGAACAUUUCAAUGCAUCACAGCACUGGUCUUCCCUACCAGGUUUUCUUGAUGAUAUAUAUAUUUCUUUUCUUUCACUUUUCUCAAAACAUUCGCAAUCUCACGAAAGUUCACAGUUUGAACCAAAAAAAAACUCGAUAAUGGAGUUUCUAAAGAGCGACGGAAUUCCCAGUGUCAGUUCACAUUCGAUUGCUGUAGAAGUUGUAAUUUUUUCCUUUCUCAUUAUUAGUUUUAGGUGUUCUUUUGUAUCACACUUGAACAGUGAUGGACAGAGUUGGCUCUCAUGCCAUCGCUUCUAAUUGGCUGAGUGAAAUAAAGACACGUGCAGAGAUAAUGGAAACAUGUGCAGUACGAGUGUGAUAAAGUAAAUAGAACCCUCAAUGACGCCAGCGCCAUCUUUAAACAACGGCAAAAUUUGGAACUAAAAUCAAUCGUUUUACAGGGAGACAAGUACAUUUUGUCAUUACAAUCAAGAUCGAAAGAAUACACCAAUAAUAAAAGUAUAUGCAGAAUAUGAAUCAACGAAAACAUAAAAUAAAUCACGUUGCUUUUAUCUGUUUAUUACUGAAUUUGUAUUUCUAAUUUUAUGUUUAACUGAAAGUUACAAGUGACCAACAAUAUAAAUUAUAAUACAUUCACAUAGUUUUUAUUCAAACACGAAAAUAUCGUUAUUCUGUCAUGAGCAAAUACAGUACACUUUAAUAAAUGACAAUCACAAUGAUGUGGCUACAGCCGUAUAGAUAUUCAUUAAUUUUAUGUAGGCACACAGAACCUCAGAGCGUUAUGUAAAAACACACAACCAUGUACAUUACAAUUCCUCAUAUUGGCGAUAAUAUUUUGUAUUCAGGAUAAACAAUAAAGUAUGCUUGAUUUUCACCUCCUAAUUUGGCCGACACAUUUUACUUUGACCCCAACAGUUUCAUAUAGUUGUCACAGAUAAGUUCUUUUAGACUAAACCACCUUUCAUGUCUAUAUUUAGCCUUUUCUCAAAUUUCCACACGAGGAUCUCUUAAAUUGGGGUUUUACAAACAUAUUUAGAAAUUAAAAGCAGUCUAUAUAAAUGUUGCAUAAUUAAUAUCUUA